CCAUAUUAAAGACAGCCCUGGCUGCCACACCUGGCGUUGGCUGCCCCCACUGCAAUAGUUUGAAGAAACCUGUGGUCCAGGCACUCUGGUUUUAAUUAAACAGCAGAUUUAUUCGAAAAAAAGUGCAAUGUUUUAAUCUCAAAGAGAUCUUUCUCAAGCUAACACCAAAGUGUGACAAUACAGAUUAUAUAGGCUAUACAAUUUAUAAUAUGAUAAAUUAAAAUAUGGGGUCGUCAUUGUAACGUUCACUAGUGAACCCUAACUUGCAGACAGGACAGAGUAGAGAGAAUUGCAAUACCGAUCCUUAGAAUGGUCGGGCUAUGCCAAAAGGGAUAGUCAAAACACGAGCCGAGGUCAAGGGUAACAGAGAGAUGGAAUAACGAGAGACAAAGCCAAAUAUCAGUAACCAGGAAAUCCAAAUAACAAGUGCAACGCUCAAUGGUAAACCAAAGACCACAACAGGGCACUGAGGCAAGGGAGAGGUUAGCUUAUAUACACACAGGGUGUGUCUGAUUGGCUAACCUCCAAUUAGUGUUAACCACAACACGUGGGAGGGGUUUCAUCACUGUCUGCCGGGUCACAUGACCGGGUGCAGCACACAUAUAAGGAAGCUGCUCUGCAGCGUGCAGAGCCAGUCUGGAGGCAGGGACCAGAUUACGCCGCUCGCUGUGAUGAGGUGAGCAAGGUCGCUGCGAGCGGCGCGGGGGCAGGGGACCUGACAGCCAUGACAGAAUGGUGCUUGCAAAGCUCUAGAUUUAAACUCUAUCUUUGCUCAGAGAGCACAGCAAAGCUUUCUGGGAGUUUUAGUUCAGAUAACAGUUUCCGUAAUUACAAAGCUGACUCCUCCCCUGAGGAGACCUUAGGCUGUGCACAGAGAGCUUUGAAAUGUGCUAGUUGGUGUGGCAUUAAACAUGUCCUACAGGUCAGACUCCACAGUCUGGAAGAAGGGAUUCGUACUGGCUUAGCUUCCUUUUGAAGUGGGCAAAGCCUCAGGAUGAUGAUGUAAUUGGGUAACGAAC